AGAUUGAACGCUGGCGGCAUGCCUUACACAUGCAAGUCGAACGGUAACAGGUUAAGCUGACGAGUGGCGGACGGGUGAGUAAUGUAUCGGAACGUGCCCAGUCGUGGGGGAUAACUGCUCGAAAGAGCAGCUAAUACCGCAUACGACCUGAGGGUGAAAGCGGGGGACCGUAAGGCCUCGCGCGAUUGGAGCGGCCGAUAUCAGAUUAGCUAGUUGGUGGGGUAAAGGCCUACCAAGGCGACGAUCUGUAGCUGGUCUGAGAGGACGACCAGCCACACUGGAACUGAGACACGGUCCAGACUCCUACGGGAGGCAGCAGUGGGGAAUUUUGGACAAUGGGCGAAAGCCUGAUCCAGCAAUGCCGCGUGUAGGAUGAAGGCCCUCGGGUUGUAAACUACUUUUGUACGGAACGAAAAGACACUCUCUAAUACAGGGGGUCUAUGACGGUACCGUAAGAAUAAGCACCGGCUAACUACGUGCCAGCAGCCGCGGUAAUACGUAGGGUGCAAGCGUUAAUCGGAAUUACUGGGCGUAAAGCGUGCGCAGGCGGUUUUGUAAGUCUGUCGUGAAAGCCCCGGGCUUAACCUGGGAAUUGCGAUGGAGACUGCAAGGCUUGAAUCUGGCAGAGGGGGGUAGAAUUCCACGUGUAGCAGUGAAAUGCGUAGAGAUGUGGAGGAACACCGAUGGCGAAGGCAGCCCCCUGGGUCAAGAUUGACGCUCAUGCACGAAAGCGUGGGGAGCAAACAGGAUUAGAUACCCUGGUAGUCCACGCCCUAAACGAUGUCAACUGGUUGUUGGGUCUUCACUGACUCAGUAACGAAGCUAACGCGUGAAGUUGACCA
rnacentral:rRNA from 1 species